rnacentral:tRNA from 1 species
GGGCGAUUAGGCUAGUGGCAAACCACCUCGUUUACACCGAGAUGUUCGCGGUUCGAUCCCGCGCGCGCCCA